AAGGAAACGAAAAGAAAGAAAAUGAAAAGAAAGAAAGGCAAAUGAAGUGCGCGCUUUCUUCUUUUCACUUUGCUUCUUUUCAUUUUGCUUCGCUCGUGCCUCACUCUCUUCACUCACCACGUUCUUUGUUUCUUUUAUUCGGCUAGUUUCGUGCUUCCUUCAUCUCUUCAGUCCAUUACAAACUAGCCGAAUAAAAGGAACAAAGAGGAGUGGUGAAUGUGUGCUCUUUGUUUCUCUUUGUUCUUAU
rnacentral:ribozyme from 1 species